GGCACAGAAGAAAAAGUAUGAAAAGUACUGUAAUUUCACCAGAAGAAAAUCAACUUAUCCUCCUCAAGGAGGAUACCAUGACUCUGGUAUCAUGUUAGAAAGGGAAGAGGGAGCAAUAGGAAAAAGGUUUGUGAAUAUUCAAGUUAUAUAGAAUGAUACAAUAUAGAAGGGUAUUUAUAGGUGAUAAGACACUACAAGAAACACGGAAGAUAGAGGCGACAAAUUGCCUGCAGUUUUUCCAUGAGCUGCAAAUUGGCAAGAUAGCUGCGAUUGGCAUUCGACCUCUUCAAUGUGACGUAGAAUCCGAUGGAUUAGCGUCGAAUCCAUGAAGCACCGCCACCAACCCCAACCCUUUAUCAUAUACUUGGUGGUUGUGUUACCUAAUCUGAUCAGAUUACCCAAAAUCAAGAAAAACAGGAACCUGCGAAAGGAGAGUGGAAGCGCGCAAACCCCUGUUCUCUGCUCCGCUGUGUGCCGCUGUGUCACCCUGGAAUCGCGUGGCUGCCGACCCAUCCUCCUCUCACCGCCAUCGACCGUUCCCCUCUACUCUACAGUGCGUGAAACCCCUAAUCCCUCCUCCACGGUGUGCGAAACCCACCCCUGUUCUCUGCUCCACCGUGUGCAUCUGUGCCAUCUUUCAAUCGCGUGGUUGCCCAGACAUCCUCCUCUCACCGUUCUCGACCGUACCCCUCUCCUCCACCCCUUACUCCCUCCUUUAUCGUGCGCGAUCUGAGCUAUCGCGACCUCUCCCCUGUUUGUUACUUAAUCAGAAAAAUCAAGGUUACAAAGACAAGCAGUGGUAGAAAGCCAUUGGAUUUUAUUCGGAAGCCAUAAAACUAAGCAGUAACAAUGCAACAUACGACAGUGAUAGGUCCCAAGCUUAUCUAGAACUUGGAAGUUACCUCCAAGCUGAAGCAGAUUGUACAAAAGCAAUUAACCUUGACAAAAAGAAUGUCAAAGUGUAUUUUAGAAGAGGUAGAGCUAGAGAGAUGCUUGGCUACUAUACCGAUGCAAUUGAUGGUAAGAUCUUUCAUUCAGUUCAGACUUUGUGCGACAAGUAUCUGCACAGGCUACUAUAUUUCUUUUUUUACAUCUUUGUUCGAUUGUUGCUCUUAUUUUCAUAUGAAAGUUUCAGAAUUUCUAAAUCAUAGGUCAGCUAUUUUUCUUUGCACAACACAGCUUGGAAGAUUAGAAGUUGCAAAGAAAGUCUGCGGAAGCUUGAGGAACAACCUGAAUGGUUGAGGGGUGGAAAGCUCUGCGGAAAGCUCUGUGAUUAUCAUGUUUGUAGGUUUACAUAGGAUAUGCUUGUCCUUUUUGCAUUCUGAAUCUAUCUAUUCUAUUUUGCAGUUGAAGAAAUGAUACAAAUGUCAUUUUAGCUGAUGAAAUGGGUCUUGGUAAAACUGUUCAUUCAGUUUCAAUGCUUGGUUUUCUACAGAAUGCCCAGCAAAUCCAUGGCCCUUUUCUUGUAGUUGUACAUUGUCUACUUUAUCAGACUGGCUAAGUAUGCUAACUGCCAAAUGAAGUUCUUCCAAACCCUAAUCAGAACAUGGAGAAGAGACGAGCCUUCACCCACGGCCAUUCGCCGUCCACUGUGAAGCAAUAACACAUGCUGCUGGCAACCUCACCUCGUUGUCUGAUCACUCGUUCUUCCUUUCCAACCCAUGUGAGUUCAAAAACCACGCCAUACAACACAUCCACCAUUUUUCACAUUAUUCUAGCCAUAUAUAUACACAAUACAAAUUUUCAGUAAAUCAAGAGUCUAAGCAAUUGCAAAAAUUGCCAAUCCCAAGUC